rnacentral:rRNA from 1 species
AGUCGAGUGCGCGGUUGUAGCAAUACAACUGGCGCACGGCGCACGGGUGCGUAACACGUGGGUAACCUGCCCUUUGGUGGGGAAUAACUCCGCGAAAGCGGAGCUAAUUCCGCAUAAGAUCCGCAAGGAUGAAAGCCGCAAGGCGCCGAAGGAGGGGCCCGCGCCCGAUUAGCUAGUUGGUAGGGUAACGGCCUACCAAGGCUUUGAUCGGUAGCUGGUCUGAGAGGAUGAUCAGCCACACUGGAACUGAGACACGGUCCAGACUCCUACGGGAGGCAGCAGUGGGGAAUCUUGCACAAUGGGCGAAAGCCUGAUGCAGCGACGCCGCGUGGGGGAUGAAGCAUUUCGGUGUGUAAACCCCUUUCGAUCCGGACGAAACCCCGCAAGGGAUUGACGGUACGGAUAUAAGAAGCCCCGGCUAACUACGUGCCAGCAGCCGCGGUAAGACGUAGGGGGCCAGCGUUGUUCGGAAUUACUGGGUGUAAAGGGUUCGUAGGCGGUGCGGCAAGUUGGGAGUGAAAUCUCUGGGCUUAACCCAGAGGCUGCUUCCAAAACUGCUGUGCUUGAGUGUGGGAGAGGCGCGUGGAAUUGCAGGCGUAGCGGUGAAAUGCGUAGAUAUCUGCAGGAACACCCGUGGCGAAAGCGGCGCGCUGGACCACUACUGACGCUGAGGAACGAAAGCUAGGGGAGCAAACAGGAUUAGAUACCCUGGUAGUCCUAGCCCUAAACGAUCAGGACUUGGGGUGCCACCCGUUCGGGUGUCGUCCCGGAGCUAACGCGUUAAGUCCUGCACCUGGGGAGUAC